AGCUGCUGAGACCCCCUAGAAGUGGUAAUGAAAAGUGUAACUUUAGCCUCCCAGCUGUACGUCUCAAUCCAUAAUCCUUCCCCAAAAACCUCACCAUAGAGCCGCCUGCCACUCCCAUGGCGUGCCCAGCCUACACCUCACCGGGCCUUCACGAUUUAUGUAGCACUCCGGAUUCAUACUCUCAACCCCGUAAAAAAAAAGGAUUUGCUCUCUCUUAUAUGACCCGGGGUGGUCAGGGGAGCACGGUGGAAACACAAAAAAGCCCAGUGUCGGAGCCUCACUCCCCAGAUAUGAUUUCUCCUUCAACACGGGGCCAUACCUUGGGAUACUUUAGGACACCAGGCCGGCGUCCGAGCGACCGGAGAGGUUGGGUGGUGGCAGAUCAGCGUGUGGAAGCCAUUCAGAGGUCAGAGACCAUACGCCAAACUCCACCAGAGCCACAUGGCCCAGGUUUUGGUAUGCAGAUACGCAGCCCAGUAAUGAAGCAGCCCAGGCCUGUUCAACGGUGCAGCCCGCAGAGAGCCGCUCGAGGGGAGAGCGUUCAGAGCGCCUGCACGCGCGCGGCCUAAUGAGGAAACAAUCAGCUGCAGCGGGUCAUCACUCUCCGGUCUCGAGCCAUACACACACGAGCCACGAUUCACUGCGCACAUUCGUUGGAAGUGUUGUAUCUUCAAUCCACACUCAAUGCGUACAUUGCUUAAGUUCGAAUGCAAGGUUGUCAAUAGGACCACUGUCCAUCAUCGUCAGUUGACGGACAGACUUGAACCAAAAGACUCAGGAACGGCCCCUUCCCCAUCACCGCUGGCCGUGUCAAGCUUGGAAAUGGAUCCCGGCCGCCUCUGAAGCAUUUAGCACCACAAUUAUCCCCCCAUUCACAGGGCUGCCUGCGCUAAUGUAAACCACACCAGGCACUAGCCGUCAUUCAACCGCAGUAAAAAAAGGCAAUGCAGAAACCCAUCCUCUGUGACAGCAAUUUGACGCAAUUCCGUCCCUGUGUCACCGUUGCUACAAAUAGGGGUCAACUCAUUUAUUAAGCAAUUUCUAGGUCUUGU
ensembl:lncRNA